UACGGGGGGGGCAAGCGUUGUUCGGAAUUACUGGGCGUAAAGGGUGCGUAGGCGGUCCGCUAAGUUGGAUGUGAAAACUCUGGGCUUAACCCAGAGCCUGCAUUCAAAACUGACGGGCUAGAGUUCUGGAGGGGGUAGCGGAAUUCCUGGUGUAGCGGUGAAAUGCGCAGAUAUCAGGAAGAACACCCGUGGCGAAGGCGGCUCUCUGGUACGUGACUGACGCUGAGACGCGAAAGCGUGGGGAGCAAACAGG
rnacentral:rRNA from 1 species